UUUGGUAGGGCCUUGUCUUGAUUGCUGAGAUGACUGAUCACAAUGUGAAAUGUCUCUUGAGUCCUUGGUCAUCUUGGCUACUUGGAUUGUAUCACCUGGUUCACUUAGCUUAUACCAUGAGGCAAUUGAUGCAUCCUAUAAUAAAAAGAACAUUUGAAAGAAACCAUCUAUAUUAUUUGAUCUUCCUUAUUGGUAUAAACUAGAUGUAAGACACUGCAUAAUGUGAUGCAUGUGGAGA
rnacentral:lncRNA from 1 species